rnacentral:rRNA from 1 species
CCGGUUGAUCCCGCCAGAGGCCAUUGCUAUCGGAGUCCGAUUUAGCCAUGCUAGUCGCACGGGCUUAGACCCGUGGCAUAUAGCUCAGUAACACGUGGCCAAACUACCCUACAGACCGCAAUAACCUCGGGAAACUGAGGCCAAUAGCGGAUAUAACUCUCAUGCUGGAGUGCAGAGAGUUAGAAAUGUUCCGGCGCUGUAGGAUGUGGCUGCGGCCGAUUAGGUAGAUGGUGGGGUAACGGCCCACCAUGCCGAUAAUCGGUACGGGUUGUGAGAGCAAGAACCCGGAGACGGUAUNUGAGACAAGAUACCGGGCCCUACGGGGCGCAGCAGGCGCGAAACCUUUACACUGCACGACAGUGCGAUAGGGGGACUCCGAGUGCGGGGGCAUAUAGCCCUCGCUUUUCUGUACCGUAAGGUGGUACAGGAACAAGGACUGGGCAAGACCGGUGCCAGCCGCCGCGGUAAUACCGGCAGUCCAAGUGAUGGCCGAUAUUAUUGGGCCUAAAGCGUCCGUAGCCGGCCGGACAAGUCCGUUGGGAAAUCGACGCGCUCAACGCGUCGGCGUCCAGCGGAAACUGUCCGGCUUGGGGCCGGAAGACCUGAGGGGUACGUCCGGGGUAGGAGUGAAAUCCUGUAAUCUUGGACGGACCACCAAUGGGGAAACCACCUCAGGAAGACGGACCCGACGGUGAGGGACGAAAGCUAGGGUCUCGAACCGUAUUAAAUACCCGGUAGUCCUAGCUGUAAACUAUGCUCGCUAGGUGUGCCGUAGGCUACGAGCCUGCGCUGCGCCUUAGGGAAGCCGAGAAGCGACCCGCCUGGGAAGUACGUCUGCAAGGAUGAAACUUAAAGGAAUUGGCGGGGGAGCACCACAACCGGAGGAGCCUGCGGUUUAAUUGGAUUCAACGCCGGG